UACGUAGGGUCCGAGCGUUGUCCGGAAUUACUGGGCGUAAAGAGCUCGUAGGUGGUUUGUCGCGUUGUUCGUGAAAACUCACAGCUCAACUGUGGGCGUGCGGGCGAUACGGGCAGACUAGAGUACUGCAGGGGAGACUGGAAUUCCUGGUGUAGCGGUGAAAUGCGUAGAGAUCAGGAGGAACACCUGUGGUGUAGACAGCUUACUGGACGGUGACUGACGCUGAGGCACGAAAGCGUGGGUAGCAAACAGG
rnacentral:rRNA from 1 species